rnacentral:rRNA from 1 species
AUUGAACGCUGGCGGCAGGCCUAAUACAUGCAAGUCGAACGAGUGGCGGACGGGUGAGUAAUGUCUGGGAACCUGCCUGAUGGAGGGGGAUAACUACUGGCAACGGUAGCUAAUACCGCAUACCAGAGGAUGUGCCCAGCUGGGAUUAGCUAGUAGGUGGGGUAACGGCUCACCUAGGCGACGAUCCCUAGCUGGUCUGAGAGGCUGACCAGCCACACUGGGACUGAGACACGGUCCAGACUCCUACGGGAGGCAGCAGUGGUGAAUAUUGCACAAUGGUCGCAAGCCUGAUGCAGCCAUGCCGCGUGUAUGAAGAAGGCCUUCGGGUUGUAAAGUACUUUCAGCGGGGAGGCGUUACCCGCAGAAGAAGCACCGGCUAACUCCGUGCCAGCAGCCGCGGUAAUUC